GGUUCGAUGGUGUAGUUGGUUAUCACUUCUGUCUAACAAGGAAACUCUUGUGUGCACAGGCGGUCCUCAGUUCGAACCUGGGUCGAAUCA